rnacentral:rRNA from 1 species
UACGGAGGGUGCGAGCGUUGUCCGGAAUCACUGGGCGUAAAGGGCGCGUAGGCGGCCUGAUAAGUCGGGGGUGAAAUCCUGCGGCUUAACCGCAGGGCUGCCUUCUAAACUGUCAGGCUAGAGCACAGUAGAGGCAGGUGGAAUUCCCGGUGUAGCGGUGGAAUGCGCAGAUAUCGGGAAGAACACCCGUGGCUAAGGCGGCUCUCUAGUACGGUACUGACGCUGAGACGCGAAAGCGUGGGGAGCGAACAGG